UGUGUGUUGAAUAAUGAAUAAAAGCCCAGGGAUUUGGAGUGUUGAAGUAAUUAGAGAUGGAUCUUUACCAAGGAAGAGCAGCCAGAGGAGAGCAGAGCAGACACAGGAACAGGGAACAGGACAAGCUGCACCAAAGUGGAGGAGAAAAGAGAGGAGAGGGGUUGGAAGAGCCAAUUGGAAGCGUGGACACCAGGGUUAACAUCCAUACUGGGUUGGCGCCCCCCCUUGGGUUGUGCCGUGGGGGAGAUCUUCGUGGGCUGUACUCGGCCUUCUCUCAGGAUAGUAGGACCUGAGCACUAGGACCAUGCCUCAGGACUACCUGGCCU